AUGGCGAUCGCCCCGCCACAGCAACCUCUCCAUGUGCUAGAUCCGGUGGGAUCCGCCUCCAUCGCGAGGACGGAGGAGUGGGAGGCCAGGGAGCGGUUCUCGUCGGUGGAGCUCGCCGACAAGAACUUCAAGAUCGACGACCUGGAGCUCACGCCGGAGGAGAUGGAGAUGUACAUCGACCUCCACCCAUUCACCAACACGACGCCCUACACCGUGGUGGAGACCAUGUCGGUGGCCAAGGUCGUGGUGCUGUUCCGCUCCGUCGUGCUCCGGCACAUGCUCAUCAUGCCCAAGUUCCAGGGCCCCGAGAUAUCUCCGCUUGUGGGGAUCUUGACGCGGCAGGACCUGAGAGCGCACAACAUCCUCGGCGCGUUUCCGCACCUGGCAAAGAAGAGCAAGGCGCACUGA
rnacentral:rRNA from 1 species